AUGCGCCUUUAAUUCCGUUAGAAAAAUUGGAAGAACGAGUUGCAGCGGCUACAGGUGUGAGUGAAGCUGCGUACCUAUACCUUAGGCAGUAUACCAAGAAGAAUUUCUCGCACCUGCAGCGAUUUCAGACGAAAUAAUGAUGAUUAAUGACAUCUUCUUCUUCCACUACGAGUAUCAAGGGUUGGCUGGAAGAAAUUGAAUUUUGGCAAUUAGUCUUUGUAUAUUGUCUGAAUUUCUUUUAAUUUUAUGCUCUUGUUUCGUGUUACUUAAGAAAAUGAAAAAAAUAAAGUGUUCAUAAAUAAAUAAAUAAUAAUUAA